GAUGAAUGCUGGCGGCGUGCCUAAUACAUGCAAGUCGAGCGAACGGACGAGAAGCUUGCUUCUCUGAUGUUAGCGGCGGACGGGUGAGUAACACGUGGAUAACCUACCUAUAAGACUGGGAUAACUUCGGGAAACCGGAGCUAAUACCGGAUAAUAUAUUGAACCGCAUGGUUCAAUAGUGAAAGACGGUUUUGCUGUCACUUAUAGAUGGAUCCGCGCCGCAUUAGCUAGUUGGUAAGGUAACGGCUUACCAAGGCAACGAUGCGUAGCCGACCUGAGAGGGUGAUCGGCCACACUGGAACUGAGACACGGUCCAGACUCCUACGGGAGGCAGCAGUAGGGAAUCUUCCGCAAUGGGCGAAAGCCUGACGGAGCAACGCCGCGUGAGUGAUGAAGGUCUUCGGAUCGUAAAACUCUGUUAUUAGGGAAGAACAAAUGUGUAAGUAACUAUGCACGUCUUGACGGUACCUAAUCAGAAAGCCACGGCUAACUACGUG
rnacentral:rRNA from 1 species